rnacentral:rRNA from 1 species
CCUACGGGAGGCAGCAGUAGGGAAUUUUCGUCAAUGGGGGGAACCCUGAACGAGCAAUGCCGCGUGAGUGAAGAAGGUCUUCGGAUCGUAAAGCUCUGUUGUAAGAGAAAAACGGGUAUCAUAGGGAAUGAUGAUAUCGUGAUGGUAUCUUACCAGAAAGCCACGGCUAACUACGUGCCAGCAGCCGCGGUAAUACGUAGGUGGCAAGCGUUAUCCGGAAUGAUUGGGCGUAAAGGGUGCGUCGUCGGCAAAAUAAGUCUGAAGUAAAAGGCGGGGGCUCAACCAACGUAAGCUUUGGAAACUGGUGAGCUUGCGUGCGGGGAAGGUUAGCGGAAUUCGAUGUGUAGCGGUAAAAUGCGUAGAUAUAAGGAGGAACACC